CGGGACGGGUGAGUAAUGUCUGGGAAACUGCCUGAUGGAGGGGGAUAACUACUGGAAACGGUAGCUAAUACCGCAUAACGUCGCAAGACCAAGAGGGGACCUUCGGGCCUCUUGCCAUCGGAUGUGCCCAGAUGGGAUUAGCUAGUAGGUGGGGUAACGGCUCACCUAGGCGACGAUCCCUAGCUGGUCUGAGAGGAUGACCAGCCACACUGGAACUGAGACACGGUCCAG
rnacentral:rRNA from 1 species